UCCCUGGUGGCUCAGCUGGUAAAGAAUCUGCCUGCAAUGCAGGGGACCUGGGUUUGAUCCCUGGUUUGGGAA
rnacentral:tRNA from 1 species